rnacentral:rRNA from 1 species
UUCAGCCUUGCUGAAGUUAGUAAAGUGGCGCACGGGUGAGUAACGCGUGGGUAAUCUCCCCUCGAAUUGGGGAUAACAUUGCGAAAGCGAUGCUAAUACCGGAUAAUAUCUUAAAUACCCCGGUAAUUAAGAUCAAAGGUGGCCUCUACAUGUAAGCUACUGUUUGGGGAUGAGCCCGCGUACCAUUAGCUUGUUGGUAGGGUAAUGGCCUACCAAGGCCGCGAUGGUUAGCUGGUCUGAGAGGAUGAUCAGCCACACUGGAACUGACACACGGUCCAGACUCCUACGGGAGGCAGCAGUGAGGAAUUUUGCGCAAUGGGGGAAACCCUGACGCAGCAACGCCGCGUGAGUGAUGAAGGCUUUCGGGUCGUAAAGCUCUGUCAAGUGGGAAGAACCCACAUGAUGCUAAUAUCAUCAUGUGCUGACGGUACCACUGAAGGAAGCACCGGCUAACUCCGUGCCAGCAGCCGCGGUAAUACGGGGGGUGCAAGCGUUAUUCGGAAUUACUGGGCGUAAAGAGCGCGUAGGCGGUCUUUUAAGUCAGGUGUGAAAGCCCGGGGCUCAACCCCGGAAGUGCACUUGAAACUAAGGGACUUGAGUAUGGGAGAGGGAAGUGGAAUUCCUGGUGUAGCGGUGAAAUGCGUAGAUAUCAGGAGGAACACCGGUGGCGAAGGCGACUUCCUGGACCAAUACUGACGCUGAGGCGCGAAGGCGUGGGGAGCAAACAGGAUUAGAUACCCUGGUAGUCCACGCAGUAAACGGUGAACACUA